rnacentral:rRNA from 1 species
GUCGGCAAAACGGAUCCGUAACUUCGGGAGAAGGAUUGGCUCUUGGGAUUGGAUAUUGCAAUCCUUUAAUAUAUUAACAUUAAUUGUUUAAUUCCAGAGUUUAUAUUAACUUCGGUUUUUAUAAAUAAAAGUUUUAUUCGGUUUUUAUUAAUUGUUAUUGGAAUCAACUGUAAUAUCAUUUAACAAUCAACCAAGAACUGGUACGGACCUAGGGAAUCCGACCGUUUAAUCGAAACAAAGCAUCGCGAUGCUCAUAAUUUGACGCUGACGCGAUGUGAAUCCUGCCCAGUGCUCUGAAUGUCAAAGCGAAGAGAUUCGACCAAGCGCGGGUAAACGGCGGGAGUAACUAUGACUCUCUUAAGGUAGCCAAAUGCCUCGUCAUCUGAUUAGUGACGCGCAUGAAUGGAUGAACGAGAUUCCCACUGUCCCUAUCUACCGUCCAGCGAAACCACAGCCAAGGGAACGGGCUUGGCGAAAUCGGCGGGGAAAGAAGACCCUGUUGAGCUUGACUCUAGUCCGAAUUUGUGGGACGUCUCCGAAGGUGUAGAAUAGGUGGGAGAUAAUUAACCUCGGUUAUUUAUCGAUCUUGAAAUACCACUACUACGGACGACGUCCUACUCAUUCAUUUAAAUGGGAAUAAUAUCAUGGUUCACUUAAUGAAGACGAUUAUUGAAAUACUUCGGUAAAUCUUUAAUAUUAUUUGUUAAGCCCAAGUUAUUUUUUUCCAAGAAGACAAAUAAAAAAUUAUUAUAGCAAUAUAAUAAUUUUUAAUGACCCAAGAUGAAGAAAGAUUCGGGUGGGGAGUUUUGGCUGGGGCGGCACAUCCGUUAGAAUACAACGCGGGUGUCCCAAGAAAAGCUCAGUGAGGACAGAAACCUCGUGUAGAGCGAAAGGGUAAAAGCUUUUUUGAUUCAAGUCUUCAGUAAUGACAUGAACCGUGAAAACGUGGCCUAUCGAUCCUUUGUACAUGUUCCGACGACUCGGAGCCGGAGGUGUCAGAAAAGUUACCACAGGGAUAACUGGCUUGUGGCAGCCAAGCGCCCGCAGCGACGUUGCUUUUUGAUCCUUCGAUGUCGGCUCUUCCUAUCAUCGCGAAGCAGAAUUCGCAAAGCGUUGGAUUGUUCACCCACUAACAGGGAACGUGAGCUGGGUUUAGACCGUCGUGAGACAGGUUAGUUUCACCCUACCGAUAAAACGCCAUUCAACGGGUCAUUCGAUUUAGUACGAGAGGAACAAUUGGGUAAGGUCAAUAGCGAACACUACUGGUUGUUCAACCAAGUAGUGCAGCCAACAUCUUUCGGAUCAUGCCUGAACGCCUCUAAGGCAGAAUCCAUGCCCAAAAUAGAUAUCUUCAAAGGAUACAUAGU